GAUGAACGCUGGCGGCGUGCCUAAUACAUGCAAGUCGAGCGAACAGACGAGGAGCUUGCUCCUCUGACGUUAGCGGCGCACGGGUGAGUAACACGUGGAUAACCUACCUAUAAGACUGGGAUCACUUCGGGAAACCGGAGCUAAUACCGGAUAAUAUAUUGAACCGCAUGGUUCGAUAGUGAGAUACGGUUUUGGUGGCUCUUCUAGAUGGUUACGAGCCGCAUUAGCUAGUUGGUAAGGUAACAGGCUACCAAGGCGACCAUGCGUAAGCGACCGGAGGGGGUGAUCGGCCACACUGGAGCUGAGACACGGUCCAGGGGCCUACGGGAGGCAGCAGUAGGGAAUCUGACGCAAUGGGCGAAAGCCUGACGGAGCAACGCCGCGUGAGUGAUGAAGGUCUUCGGAUCGUAAAACUCUGUUAUUAGGGAAGAACAAAUGUGUAAGUAACUAUGCACGGCUUGACGGUACCGGAUCAGAAAGCAACGGCUAACUACGUG
rnacentral:rRNA from 1 species